rnacentral:rRNA from 1 species
CCUACGGGUGGCAGCAGUGAGGAAUAUUGGUCAAUGGGCGGGAGCCUGAACCAGCCAAGCCGCGUGAGGGAAGAAGGUACAGCGUAUCGUAAACCUCUUUUGUCAGGGAACAAAGGCGGGGACUAGUCCCCGGAUGAGUGUACCUGACGAAAAAGCAUCGGCUACCCUAGCUCCAGCAGCCGCGGUAAUACGGGGGUUGCGAGCUUAAUCCGGAUUUGUUGGGGUAAAGGGGUGCGCAGGCGGCCGGUUAGGUCAGCGGUAAAAGCCCGGGGCUCAACUCCGGCGAGCCGUUGAAACUGGCGGACUGGAGUUGGAGAGAGGUGAGCGGAAUGCGAGGUGUAGCGGUGAAAUGCUUAGAUAUCGCGAAGAACACCAAUUGCGAAGGCAGCGUCCCGGCUCCACACUGACGCUGAGGCACGAAAGCGUGGGUAUCGAACAGGAUUAGAUACCCCAGUAGUC